AAAUAUGAUACGUGAUAAAUGCUGGGGCAUUUCCAAACACAAAUACCCAUAAUGACAAAACAUGUGAUGAUGAUUACUAAAUAAUAAUGACUUUCAAUGCUCUGAUCCCACGCUGAUGGCGGCGAUCUGACGUCGCAGUUUCAACACGCCUGGGUAAUCGGAAGCGUUUCGUGUAUGACGUAAUGCUGUGGGGAAUGCGCACUGACCGGAACCUUGUCGGGGUGCUUGGCCCGCACCCGCUCUCCCUCCGCUCUCCUCACCUCCAGGGCCACCGUUCGUUGAUAUUGACUGCCCAUCUGAACGAAAGGCAAUCAUGAGGUCACGAUCGUCCCUUUUAAAAGAGGAUAGAGGCAACAAGCACAUAGUUCGUGCUGCAUAUGGAUCCAACAGAAGACCGAUCCUGACUGCAUCACAGGCGCCAUCGCUCAUGAUAUAUACUUUUCUUCGACUGUCAGCCAAAACCCCUGCUACAUACAACCCAAAAGCCCAGCAACAACACUGCAAUGGACAUCGUUUGGUCGUCAGUCUGUUUCUCUAUGAACAGAGUCUUUGGUGCCUCAGUGUCCUCCACAUUUCAGCUAGCCUCCACAGAUGGCCAGCUUGCAUUCACUUGCUAUGCAGUGAAUCCACCACAAUCUCAAUGAGUCCUCUCCCAAUGGGGUGUGCGUCGGCCCUCCCCCAAUGGGGUGUUGCUCACACGGCAGCGGUGGCCGUGGUCAGUUUGAGGGCGUCCUGCAGAUUGCGUUGGCAGACUCCCGAGUUGGUGAUGGUCUCUAGGUGGGAUUCAGGCAUCCAACCACGAUGCCGGUCAGAGAGUUUAGUCCCCUCUACCCAGCCUGGAGGAGGGGGGAGGCAACAAAUGUUAUUCAACCAUGAAAAUAAACUAUUUAUAUUUUGUUUUGAUGAGGUUUAUGUUUCCCACACCCAAACCACAGCAGAUCAACCCUAAAAUGCUCCACAGAGUAAUAAUGACUAAUGUAGAGAUUGUGGAGGGCUGGAUGAUCUUACCAUCGCCGCUCUGCUGGUGCACCAGUAUGACGUCAGCUUUCUCCAGGGACAGCUCAUCGGGUUGCUGAGUGAUAAACGCACGUAUACACUGCAUCUGCGUAAAAUCUGAACAAACACACACACAUUAUUUUUAAUUGUUGCUCAUCUCGAUUCAACAAUACCUAUAUUGUGCAUUGUAAAUAAACUGUUCAAAUUG